rnacentral:rRNA from 1 species
AGUGAACGCUGGCGGUAGGCCUAACACAUGCAAGUCGAACGGCAGCACAGUAAGAGCUUGCUCUUACGGGUGGCGAGUGGCGGACGGGUGAGGAAUACAUCGGAAUCUACUUUUUCGUGGGGGAUAACGUAGGGAAACUUACGCUAAUACCGCAUACGACCUACGGGUGAAAGCAGGGGAUCUUCGGACCUUGCGCGAUUGAAUGAGCCGAUGUCGGAUUAGCUAGUUGGCGGGGUAAAGGCCCACCAAGGCGACGAUCCGUAGCUGGUCUGAGAGGAUGAUCCGCCACGAGGGGAAGAGAAGGCGCACAAAAACUCGGAGGGAGGCAGGGGGGGGAAAUAUGGGAGAAGGGGCGGAGGGGAGAACAGGCCAAAGGGCGGGGGGAAGAAAGGCCUUGGGGGGGUAAGGGCUUUUUGGGGGAAAAGAAAAAAGGGGGUUUAACCCCGCGGUGUAUGGCGGUACCCAAAGAAUAAGCCCCGGCUAACUUUGU